UACGGAGGGUGCAAGCGUUAUCCGGAUUCACUGGGUUUAAAGGGUGCGUAGGCGGGCAGGUAAGUCAGUGGUGAAAUCUCCAAGCUUAACUUGGAACUGCCGUUGAUACUAUCUGUCUUGAAUACUGUGGAGGUGAGCGGAAUAUGUCAUGUAGCGGUGAAAUGCUUAGAUAUGACAUAGAACACCAAUUGCGAAAGGCAGCUCACUACACAGCC
rnacentral:rRNA from 1 species